AGUGAACGCUGGCGGCGUGCCUAAUACAUGCAAGUCGAACGGAGUGGCGCACGGGUGAGUAAUAUAUAGCUAAUCUGCCCCUUGCUGGAGGACAACAGUUAGAAAUGACUGCUAAUACUCCAUAGCAAGGGAUGUGACUAUAUCGUAUCAGCUAGUCGGUGGGGUAACGGCCUACCGAGGCUAUGACGCGUAACUGGUCUGAGAGGCUGAUCAGUCACCUUGGAACUGAGACACGGUACAAACUCCUACGGGAGGCAGCAGGAGGGAAUGUUGCAGAAUGGGGGAAACCCAGACGCAGCAUCGCCGCGUGGCGGAUGACACUUGUCGGAGCGUAAACUCCUUUUGUUAGGGAAGCGGUACCUAACGAAUAAGCACCGGCUAACUCCGUGCCAGCCGCCGCGGUAAUUC
rnacentral:rRNA from 1 species